CAUCAUAAGAGUGCACUAUUUCCACAUUAAAGAGGCACUCAUGCAAGCGGCACGAAACACCCCACUACAAAUAGAAGGUCACCAAAUCUCCUUCUACCAGGACCUGGCCCCGAGCACCCUGCGCAAAAGGAAGGAGCUGCGGCCCCUCACUCAGGAGCUUACGAGGCAACAUAUCCGCUACUCAUGGGGACACCCAUUUAAGCUGCAGGUCCGGAAG